CCCUUAGAUGUUCUGGGCUGCACGCGCGCUACACUGAUGCGAUCAUCAAGUUUUUCCUAUGUCGAUAGACACGGGUAAUCUUUUGAACUCGCAUCGUGAUGGGGAUAGAUUAUUGUAAUUAUUAAUCUUCAACGAGGAAUUCCUAGUAGGUGCAAAUCAUCAGUUUGCAUCGAUUACGUCCCUGCCCUUUGUACACACCGCCCGUCGCUGCUACCGAUUGGUUGAUCUGGUGAAUUAUUCGGACUGCCGGCUGAAGGGGUUUCCUCAUCUGCCAGCGGAAAGUCUUGUUAACCCUAUCAACUAGAGGAAGCAGAAGUCGUAACA
rnacentral:rRNA from 1 species